UACGUAGGGUGCAAGCGUUGUCCGGAAUUAUUGGGCGUAAAGAGCUCGUAGGCGGUUUGUCGCGUCGAAUGUGAAAACCCGGGGCUCAACCCCGGACCUGCAUUCGAUACGGGCAGACUAGAGUUCGGUAGGGGAGUCUGGAAUUCCUGGUGUAGCGGUGAAAUGCGCAGAUAUCAGGAGGAACACCGAUGGCGAAGGCAGCUCGCUGGGACGGUACUGACGCUGAGGCGCGAAAGCGUGGGGAGCAAACAGG
rnacentral:rRNA from 1 species